rnacentral:rRNA from 1 species
AGAGCGAACGCUGGCGGCAUGCUUAACACAUGCAAGUCGCACGGGCAGGGGCAACCCUGUCAGUGGCGGACGGGUGAGUAACGCGUAGGUAUCUAUCCUUGGGUGGGGGACAACUGUGGGAAACUACAGCUAAUACCGCAUGAUAACUGAGGUUUAAAGGCGCAAGUCGCCUGGGGAGGAGCCUGCGUACGAUUAGCUUGUUGGUGGGGUAAAGGCCUACCAAGGCGACGAUCGUUAGCUGGUCUGAGAGGAUGAUCAGCCACAUUGGGACUGAGACACGGCCCAAACUCCUACGGGAGGCAGCAGUGGGGAAUAUUGGACAAUGGGCGCAAGCCUGAUCCAGCAAUGCCGCGUGUGUGAAGAAGGUCUUCGGAUUGUAAAGCACUUUCGACGGGACGAUGAUGAGGUACCCCGUAGAAGAAGCCCGGCUAACUUCGUGCCAGCAGCCGC